UGCCAGCCGCCGCGGUAAUACGGAGGGUGCAAGCGUUAAUCGGAAUUACUGGGCGUAAAGCGCACGUAGGCGGUUUGUUAAGUUGGCUGUGAAAGCCCCGGGCUUAACCUGGGAGGGUCAGUCAAAACUAACGAACUAGAGUACAGUAGAGGGGUGUGGAAUUUCCGGUGUAGCGGUGAAAUGCGUAGAGAUCGGAAGGAACACCAGUGGCGAAGGCGGCACUCUGGACUGAUACUGACGCUGAGGUGCGAAAGCGUGGGGAGCAAACAGGAUUAGAUA
rnacentral:rRNA from 1 species